CUCAAAACCAUCUAUGCAGUGGGGACAGCGCCUAUGCAGGCGAGGGAAUAAAGAACCGACAUAGGACAAGAAGCCAAAAAACCCAUAUGGUACUAUAUUUCUAGAUUUAUUAAAAGGGAGAUGCUUAAAAAUAAUUUGUUUCCCUUUAGAAAGAAUAUAAUUACUUUAAUGUGCCGUCCACCACAGAUAGCUCAGUCCUGCCUGUCGAAACUGGAAAAACUAGGACAUGAGAAUGAUUUAUUAUUUACAGUUUUUAGAAAUAUGAUGAAAGAGUUGCAAGAUACUUUCCUAGUAGAAUACGAGCUUACAGAAAGAAAUCGGUUCAGGCAUAACAACGAUAUGCAAUUUGGGUUUAGUUACUAUUACUACCUCAUGUCCGAGACUGUUAAAAGAUCUGUUGAGGUCAUUUUCGAUGAGUUUCAAAUUCAAAUUCAAAUUCAAAAUUGUUUAUUUUGCCAAAAGUAAAAAAAUACAAGUAUCAUUUAGUUACACAUAAUAUAUACAGUUGACAAAAAAGGACCAAUUCACGAUUACAAAACCGGUAACAGUGACCGCUGAGCGGACGCCUGCGAAAGGACCCUUAACCUAAUAAAUAGCUACUA